rnacentral:rRNA from 1 species
GACGAACGCUGGCGGCGUGCUUAACACAUGCAAGUCGAACGGAAAGGCCCUGCUUGCAGGGUACUCGAGUGGCGAACGGGUGAGUAACACGUGGGUGAUCUGCCCUGCACUUCGGGAUAAGCUUGGGAAACUGGGUCUAAUACCGGAUAGGAACCAUCUUUAGUGUGGUGGUUGGAAAGUUUUUUCGGUGUAGGAUGAGCUCGCGGCCUAUCAGCUUGUUGGUGGGGUAAUGGCCUACCAAGGCGGCGACGGGUAGCCGGCCUGAGAGGGUGUACGGCCACAUUGGGACUGAGAUACGGCCCAGACUCCUACGGGAGGCAGCAGUGGGGAAUAUUGCACAAUGGGCGCAAGCCUGAUGCAGCGACGCCGCGUGGGGGAUGAAGGCCUUCGGGUUGGAAACUCCUUUCGCUAGGGACGAAGCUUUUUGUGACGGUACCUAGAGAAGAAGCACCGGCUAACUACGUG